AGGAGGAGUUAAGAGGAGGAGAAGGAGAGGGAGAAGGAGAAGGAGGAGGAGGAAGGAGAAGGCGAGGGAGGAAGAGGAGGAGAAGGAGAAGGAAGGAGAGGAAGGAGAAGACAGGAGGAAGAAAAGGAGAAGGAAGAGAAGGAGAUGGAGACAGAGGAAGAGAAGGAGGAGAGGGAGGAGCAAAAGGUGGAGAAGGAAAGAGAAGGAGAGGGAGAAGGAGAAGGAGGAGACAGAGGAGAGGAGGAGAAGGAGACGGAGAAGGAGAAGAGGAGAAGAAGGAAGGAGUGGGAGAAGGAGAAGACAGGAGGAGGAAAAGGAGAAGGAGAUGGAGAUGGAGGAAGAGGAGGAGAAGGAGAGGGAGGAGGAAAAGGUGGAGAAGGACAGGGAAAGAGAAGGAGAAGAGGAGAAGGAGAAGCAAGGAGAAGGAAGGAGAAGGCGAGGGAGGAAGAGGAGAAGGAGAAGAAGGAGAGGAAGAAGGAGAAGGAAGGAGAGGAUAAAGGAGAAGACAAAGGAGGAGGAAAAGGAGAGGGAGGAGGAGAAGGAGAGGGAGGAAGAGGAGAAGAAGGAGAAGGGAAGAAAAGGAAGGAGUGGGAGAAGGAGGAGACAGGAGAGGAGGAAAAGGAGAAGGAGAAGAGAAGAAGGAAAGGAGUGGGAGAAGGAGAAAACAAGAGGAGGAAAAGGAGGACGAGAAGGAGACGGAGGAAGAGGAGGAGGAGAGGGAGGAGGAAAAGGUGAAGAAGGAGAAGGAAAGAGAAGGAGAGGGAGGAGGAGGAGAAGAGGAGAAGGAGAAGGAAGGAGAGGAAGAAGAAGACAAAGGAGGAGGAAAAGGAGAAGGAGGAGAAGGAGACGGAGGAAGAGGAGGAAAAGGAGAGGGAGGAGGAAAAGGUGGAGAAGGAGAAGGAAAGAGAAGGAGAGGGAGAAGGAGAAAGAGGAGACAGAGGUCGAGGAAAAGGAGGAGAGGGAAGAGCAGAAGAAAAAGUUGGAGGUUGUUGUUGUCACCGUGGGUCUCCUUCCCCUCCCCACAGUGACAGCAGCACUGGAGCUUUUCCCAGCAGCCUGGGAGCUGUGAUCACACUCCCACUGGGAAUGCCAUCCUUGCAGGAGAUGGGAAUGUGUCAUUCCCGUGAAAAAGUGGAUUUUGACAACAUUUACAGCUCCUGCCCCGGAGUCUGUAUUUAACAGUGUC
rnacentral:lncRNA from 1 species